GGCUCUCAGAGGUGGGAACGGCCUCCCCACACACCACCGGCGCUGUGGCGCAGGUGGUACAGUAGCUCUGACAGAGUACAGUUGCUCUGGCAGAGUGAAGAGAUCCGGGCGUGGGCACCCCGGCUAGAGCC
rnacentral:ncRNA from 1 species